rnacentral:sRNA from 1 species
UUGACAGUACUAUACUUUUUUUUUGAGAUAAGCAUAAAAUAUUUCUUUGUUUGUUUUUAUUAGUGGGAGGCGAAAGUGCAACAAGGGGAAAGAGAUUUUGAACAGAUAUCUAAAACGAUUCGAAAAGAAGUGGGAAGAUUUGAGGCAUGUAUAAUAAUUUUGCAUUUAUCUUAACAACAUGGUCACAUUUUGCUGCAAUUUUGUGGUAAAGUUGAAUUUAGCUUUCUACUAACGGACUUUUUAAAAUGUACUUCAACAGAAAGAACGAGUGAAGGAUUUUAAAACCGUUAUCAUCAAGUACUUAGAAUCACUAGUUCAAACACAACAACAGCUGAUAAAAUACUGGGAAGCAUUCCUACCUGAAGCCAAAGCCAUUGCCUAGCAAUAAGAUUGUUGCCGUUAAGAAGACCUUGGAUGUUGUUCCAGUUAUGCUGAAUUCCACAGUGAAAUCAUUUAAAACCAUCUAAAUAAACCACUAUAUAUUUUAUG